AGCAGGAGCUGGAUUAGUCCUUACCUACUUGCAGUCCUCAUCUGUGUUUAGAUGAGACAGUGAUUAAAAUUUUCUCAGACAUGUCUGUACAGGAGGACAGCUGAAAAUUUAAGACCAAUUUCCUAAAAUUCAUUGACAGCUAGGAGAAGUGGCUGACAUACCAGAAGGCUGUGCUGCAUUUCAGCAAGACCUGGACAGGCUGGAGAAUUAGGUGGAGAGGAAUGUGAUGAGAUUCAACAAGGGCAAGUGUAGUGUCCUUCACCUGGGAACAAAUAACUGCACACAUCAGCACAGGUCAGGGGCUGACCUGGUGGAAAGGAGCUCUGCAGAGAAGGACCUGGGUGUGUUGGUGGACAACAGGAUGACCAUGAGCUAGCAGUGGCCAAGAUGUCACAUUUUCUUACCUGGAGGACGGAACCACUGAAGUUGCUGGUGAAGUGACCAUCAAUGAAAGUAGAGGCAGGAGGAGCAAAUAUAGUCUUCCCCCUCCACCAGCUGCACUUUAUUUCUUGGGACUGCUGCGUAACAGAAAUGCUUUUGUGCUGCGAGAGAACAUGAUGUACAAACUGAAGAAACCUGGUCAUCAGCUGGCAAUUUCAGCUCAAAGGAACAUCUGAUUCCUAAAGUUACAGAACUUGUCUGAAAGAUUUGUUUGAAAAAGAGAAUGAACUACUCAAUGUCCCAGGACCAAAAUGUAGCAUCAUAUUGGACACUAUGAAGAAAACAAUUCAUUCCCAGCUGAAACUAAGACAUCUGUCAUCUUCUGUGCCCAAACCUGAUUUGGUUUUCAGUAUGGCUUAUUUCUCUUUGCUGACAUAGCCUGAAGCCUAUGCAAAGGAACAACAGAAAUUAUGCACAGGACAAAAAGUCCUUGAAGAUGUAGGUUCCCAAAGUAAUUAUAGAAUCACAGAAUCACUAAGAUUGGAAAAGACCUCUAAGAUCAUCUAGACCAGCCAUGUCCCUGGGAAGCCCGUUCCAGCACCUGACCACUUUUUCAAAGUUUUUCCUAGUAUCUAAACUGAACCUUCUCUGGCACAACUUGAGGACAUUUCCUCUCAUCCUGUGUUUGGUGAUGUAAGAGUGCUUCAUCCUCUCUAGGAGCACCAGCAGGAAUGGAUAAACAAAUAGACGUUAGAAGAGUGUAGUAAAGUCUUUUAAGAUAUGAAGAUGCUGCUAUAUGGUAUAGUCUGGUGGCUGUGAGUAAAGGCUGUCACAGGUUCUGGGACAGACCUGUUAGCUUUAUUUUCAAAUGAGCCAAUCACCAAAAAUUUCUCCUGAAUCUGUGAUGUGUUUCUAACACUCAUGGUUUCAUGUGCUAUGAGUUUCAAUGUCCCUCUGUGAAAUGAGGAACAAACACUCAUAAAUUCCAUGUCAGCAACUUUGACAGUAUUUAAAUCAAUGUCUGCUUGUUUUUUUCCUCUUGUAGGAAGCAUUUUUCCUGGUCUGAGUUAGUGAUGGUAUCCCCCACCUAAGGGUACACUGUCACUCAGCUGGUCCAUAUCUGUCAGUAAUAAUGUACUUUUGAUAUACAGCAAGCUGUGUACAAGGAUGGGGCAUAGUGCCCUUGUAUAUCUACUGACCCUGUUGGAAUGUUCUGUCACUUAGCAGCCAAAAGUAGAUAUGGAGGGAAGAUAAGGAUGGGGUAAUUCUGCAGUGAUAUUGCCUCUCAUCCUAAUGGUGAUGUGUUAGUGACUCUUCCAUAUAAAGACUUGCAUAUUGGUAUCAACUAGAUCCAAGGGUUUUCAGCUAUUUAUGUGGUUACCUACUGUAGAUGUAGAUUUUGGGCUUGUACAUCAUUUUGUAAUCAAGUUGACAGUAUAUUCUAAUGAAAGGCAAAAAGUUCCUUAUGUUUUCUAUUUUGGCCCUGCCAUCUGAUGAAAUAAUAUAUGCCAAAAUUUCUAACUGGGAAUGCCCUAUACUGUAACUAUAAGGCAAAUGUUUUUAGACCAGCAUCUUUUUUUCUAGGUGGCCACAGUUCACAGCCAAUCCAUCUGUGUAUGACUGUUCUUGAUGCAUAUAUCUCCAUUUUUCAACAAUUAAUGUCAUCUGCUACUUUGUCUAGUGACUUAGUCCUAGUUACUUAGUGUUUCUUAACUGUUUCAUUUUUGUUUUUAUGAUCCUAAAAAAUUCAGUAUCAGUGGAUUUUGCACACUCCUCCACAUGUUUUUUCAGAAUCAUUCACAAGUAUAUAACAAACUAUAGCAAAACCCAUUUUCAGAUGUAAAUGGUCACUUUCAUCCUUUGUGAACAUGAACAGUUUAUUUCUCUUUUUCUCAUUCUUAUCUAGACAAUAAUACAAUAAAAACUUCCUUUCUGGUUGUUUUGCAUUCCUCUUUUCUUGGGGACAUUUUAAGGUAUUUGAGGUAAACAUUUAAAAACAUACAAAAACAUAACAUAAAUCCCUUGCCUGUGUUAAAAGAAUUCCAGCACAUUGUAGAGAUAUUAACCUGGUUAAAGGUCCAUGUCAGCUCUUCUCCUAACAUCAUAUUAAAACGUUAUCAACUAAUAUUUCAAUUUGAGAUAUCCUGUUGUAUUCCUCAUUAAGAAAAAUUCUGAUCAAGGAACCUCUUUAACCCCAUACUUAGUACAGGUCAGGGAUUUCUUUUUUUUU
ensembl:lncRNA